rnacentral:lncRNA from 1 species
AUGUGUUUCCUUCACCGUUUGAGACACGUGAUAUUUAAUUUCUUAAAAUGCAUCUAUUUUCCCAUUGGUCCAUGUUAAUAAACCGUAUUGUAUACUCUGGUUUUGUCUGCAGGUAGAAUCCACCCACUACCCAAUCGACCGCAUUUCAUUCCCAGCUGUCACAGUCUGCGACACAGAGAUAAUUUACGGGCCCAACACGAGCAAUAUAACGCGAAUAUUAAAACUGAGAGGCUAUAACGAUGAAGAGAUAAAUAAAUAUUACGACAGUUUUACGAACAUCAAAAGAAAUGAUUUCGUAGUAGAAGAUAAUGUGAAGAAAAUACAUUCCACUUUGGAGGACUUGGGAUAUACGCACGAUAUCGUUAUUAAUAUGCUGAAAAAACCUUGCAGUAUUUUAAUACAGGAGUGUGUGUGGCGAUCGAAAGUAGUUGACUGUUGGAAAAUGUUUAGAGAAGUGUUUACUAUUAUGGGCUAUUGUUGUCAAUUUGACACUACAUAUUUCAG